rnacentral:rRNA from 1 species
AGUGAACGCUGGCGGUAGGCCUAACACACGCAAGUCGAACGGCAGCACAGGAGAGCUUGCUCUCUGGGUGGCGAGUGGCGGACGGGUGAGGAAUACAUCGGAAUCUACUCUGUCGUGGGGGAUAACGUAGGGAAACUUACGCUAAUACCGCAUACGACCUACGGGUGAAAGCAGGGGACCUUCGGGCCUUGCGCGAUUGAAUGAGCCGAUGUCGGAUUAGCUAGUUGGCGGGGUAAAGGCCCACCAAGGCGACGAUCCGUAGCUGGUCUGAGAGGAUGAUCAGCCAAACUGGAACUGAGACACGGUCCAGACUCCUACGGGAGGCAGCAGUGGGGAAUAUUGGACAAUGGGCGCAAGCCUGAUCCAGCCAUACCGCGUGGGUGAAGAAUGCCUUCGGGUUGUAAAGCCCUUUUGUUGGGAAAGAAAUCCAGCUGGCUAAUACCCGGUUGGGAUGACGGUACCCAAAGAAUAAGCACCGGCUAACUUCGUGCCAGCCGCCGCUGUAA